rnacentral:lncRNA from 1 species
CGUUAAUAUAUUUUAUGUUGCAGUCAGAUUUCUACUUACUUCCCUGUAAAGUUUUAUAAUGUUUUUUAUGUCAUUCCAGAUAAACAGUUUUGAGGAAAGUAGUGUCACUGGGAGCUACAUGGGAAGAGCAGUAAAUAAUUUAGGUGGGUCAUACAUUUUGAUUUUUUCACUCACUUUAAAUCAUCCCUGCUUUAAAGUGCAGCACAUAUUUUAUCACAAAAGUAUUUAUCUGAGAGCCAAAUGAAAUUGUCAACACUUAUACUGCAUGUCACAGGUUUCCUGACAGGACAAGAUGUUACUUCUAUCAUUGUUUGUCCUCUCCCUCUCUCUCUCUCUCUCUGUCUAUCUCUCUCUGUCUUAAUCUCUCUACUGCCUACAUAGACAUUAAACUCGAAUCCUCUAAUGGGCUGCUUAAAAAGAAGCAAUACACCCACAUUUUCUAAAAUAGUAUACUGUUGCUUUAGUUUGAAAAAACUUGCAAAUAGUCGUUUCAUGCUAGAAUCAUUAUGAUUAUGAUGUACUGUCCCACCUUCCUUUUGUUUUCCCUUUCCUCACUUGUAUGUGUAAGAAAUGCCAGGUGUGAUAUGGAUCGACAGCUGCCAGUCAGACAGCAGUGGUUUUCCAGAGGAACUCUCAAACCCCUCCCUCUCUCAGGCGUCACCAGGACCUGAUCUCAUUAAGGAUCUGUCUAGCCUGUCAGGAGGGAGCAAUGACAGCAAGAGACGUGAGAGGCCCGGCUCACUGUUUUUUCACACCUCCCCAUCGUACCUGCUCUCCUCAUCUCAAACCUCUCCUGAUGACAAAUCUGUCCUUUCCUCACCCUGUCCUUCAACAGGGCAUUCACUAGUCUUUGACCCUCACCUAUGUCCUGUCUCAUUGUGUCUCCCAAAAUCUGACCUGCAAUUGUCAGAGAUGGAGAAACCACCAGAUCAGGAACAGUUUCAACCUGCUUCGUUGCGUAUAUUGGUAUGCAAGUACCUUUCUGAGUUACAAAAAGUAACAAACCUCCAAUCUCCUGUCCUCGUCCCUCAUGUCCUCUCUGGUGAGGAUAAGGAUGCCCCAUCCGCCAACCUCUGUACUCUUUCUAAUGACUCUGAAGGCACAGCAUGCUUUCCAAGUUACCCUCUACCUGUCAUAUCACUUUCACCCUCUCCAAAUUGUGAUCAUCCAUUUUCUGCCUUGGAUGCCAUAUCUUCUGCCCAGUCUAACUUGAGUCCAGGGAACACAAGGCUAGAAUGGGCUGAGGUUGCUUCUCAUGAAUACACCAUCUCUGCCUCCUCACGUUUAUCACCUGAUACCACUCCUGAUUUUCAUUAUCCAUCCUCUUCACCAUCUCCCCCACUAUUUCAGUCCCUCUCAUGGAAUACAGAAAACCAUAAAAAAGAGUCACUUAUUUCCAUAUGCCUCUCUGAUCCACCUGCCAAUACACAGGAGAAAGAGGACAAGGGCAAUCCCUUAUCUCCAUCCUGUCACUCUAAAUUUAAAAGUGAGUGUACUGCACUGCCUUGCCUGUCACAUAACUCUUCCAAUCCAAUUUGUCAGUCUGAUUUGUCAUCACAGUCUCAGGAUCCACAUGAUCUUAUAGAUAUAGCCGUUGAAAGAAUUUCAGACCUAACAGAGCAAUCCAUCCCCCAGCAAAACAGAUCAUGUCCUCUUGAUGAUUACAGAGACCCUGCUCCAGACUCACCUGUCCAAGAUGAUAUUCAUGUUAAAAUGGAUCACCUCUCAUUGGAAUCAAAGGAUACCAUUCAGAUGAAUGGAAACGAAAUGGUGGGGGGUGACAGACAUACUGACACUUUGCAGACUCAAAAUGCUCUCGUAUAUAACUCAGAUAGGGAGCCUUCUGCGGGUCUGUCAGAAGGUUCUUGUUCAGUGUCUAAAGAAGUAUGUAACCAAAAAGAAAUAGAUCCACAGGUCCACUCCUGUAGUUUGCAUGAAGUUUUAACUAAAGCUAAAUUGGAAGAGCUAAGAAAAGUCUUUCAAUUGGGAAAUAAUGGGACAGAAAGUGAAUCACUUAGAGGUGCUUUAGCUGUCCAUGAUGACGUUCUAGAGGCACAGAGCAUAACUAAUGUUAAACCAAAUGACCUGAUUGAGAUUGACAGUUUACAUCUGGUAUUUCAAACUUCAGUGGAUGGCUCUGAAGGUGAAAAUGGAGAUCUAGAUGUCAUUUUUCAGCAGCUCGACACUGAAGGGAGAGUCUACUGGGCAGAACCAAUCAAUAUUUCCAGUACAACUCCUGUGCUUGAAGAGUCAUACAGCUUUGAAACUUCAGUUGGCCCUCCUGAAAAUCCACAGUGGCCAAGAGGACCAGAAACUCAAGAUUCAUUUUCAUCCACAGGCAGAGCCUGUCUCCUGUCUCCUAUGCCUUUCUCUUAUUCAUCCUUAUCAACAGUUGACACUGAACAAACCUCAAGAAGUGGAACUUCCUCCUCAGAUACACCCCCCUCCUUCAUUCUAGCCCCCUUUGAAAUCCCAGACCACAAGCCAUCAGGCUGCUCUGUUUCUGUUCAGAUGUCUUCAUCUCCAUCUUCUCAUAUUGUCCAUAGGAAGGAUAUUCCCUAUAUGAGUGAAUCAAAACGCAAUCUUCUUCAUAGUGUUCUACCUUUAGACAAUUCAACCCCUUUCCGUGCUGUCCAGUCAUGGACAGAUCUGCAGAUUCAACGAAACACUGUCACCAAGAAGUUAUCACACUGGGGUCAUCAUACAGCCCCAAACAAAUUUGCUGCAUCCACGGCUGCCUCAGAAACAAUUCGAAGACCUACGUUGAUUUUCUCUUCAUCUUCGUCUUUCCCUCUGCUGUCUUAUGAUGAGCAGUCACAUGACUGUCUCCCUGGGAUGGCUAGAAAUUACAAUGCUAUGUCAAUCUCUGUGGAUAAAGAGCUGUGGCCUGGUGAAGAGGAGGUAGACAGGAGUGAAAAUGAAGACAAGGAGAAGCUUUGGGAAGGCAACCAAGUACCCACCAUGGCAUGCUACUGCACCUGUGACCAUCAGUGUACCUGCUGUACUCAGAAGAGUUACAACAAGCAACACACUCUGGGAAACAUUGCUUACUCUCUGGACGAGUUGGAGGAGAUGAUGCUGUGUCUGCAACAGUUUUUCUCUGUGCUCAGCAACAUGGAGGAGCAGCUCUCUAAAGACCAGUCUGCAGUUUACAGUGUUCUCUCUGACCAGGACAGGGAGAAGGUUCGGGACAUAGAGGAGCUGAGGCGGGCAGUGAAAAAGGAGGCUGCAAAGCUGGAGAUACAGUUGAAUGAACUGUCCCAUCACUAUGAUGAUAGCUUGAAAAUGGUAACUCACUCAGUCACACCACAUAGCCCCAAUAGAAAAGAUGCAUCAAAGAAAUUGAAUGCAAUUAAUUGAUUAAUUAUAAUGAAAAUAAUGCAUGUAAAACAAUGAAUGUGAUAAAGUACUCUUAGUUAAUUUUGUAUCAUUAUUCUGAUACUACAGUCACAGCGCUUGAGGCAACAACACUCAUUACAACCUGAAUAACAAAAGGGGUGAACCAAAUAUAUUGAGAUCUUCAUCAUCUUCAUCAUUUUAUCCUGAGGAUGACAGCAGAGGAGGCUAGUAGGAUGACCAAAAUUAUGAGGGUUCAUCAAGCGGGGACACCCCAGUCUAACAUCAAAAUAUAAUAUAGCUGCAUCAGUCCAAAGUGCAAAACUUAGUUCAGUGAAUUUUUAUGUCUUUAGUUUGUUAGUUAUUGUGAAGUUUUUUCUAAGUUUUGCCAAGUAAAACUUUAGAAUGCAAAAAUCUUUCUAGUGAUACUGGUUGUUUAAAUGUUUGCAUUCUAAAGUUUUUUUUCAACAAAAUAGCAUAGUGCCCGCAUUUGAAUCAAUUACUUUCUGUGUUAUAUUGUGUACACUGUAAACCUGUAAAAAAACCUGUAAAAAAACGGUCAAUGACAAAAAACUUAAUAUUAAAGUAAAAUAUCCUAAUUCAAAUUAAGUCCAGAAACAUUACUUUUACAGAAAUUUUCAUUAAAUGCUCUGCAGAAAAAUACCGUUAUUUUACAGAUUUUUGCUAAAUUGUUACAAUCACUUUGAAUAAAGUGACAAUGCUAAGUGUUCUGCAGAAAAAUACCGUUAUUUAAAAAAAAAAAAUCUAAAUUAUUACAUUCAAACACUUUGAAUAAAGUGACAAUGCUAAGAGUUCUGCAGAAAAAUACCGUUAUUCUACAAUUUUUUCCUAAAUUAUGAUCAAACACCUUUAAUAAGCCUUAAAAACCACUUUGGAAAAACAGUCAAAUGACUGGCAGCUACGACUGCCAAACAAAAACCCUAAAUAUUUUCACUGUUUCAAUUAAAGUAGGGUGGGGAACUUAAUCACAAAUGAAAUACACACCACUGUUGAUUCUAAAACCCCUUUAUUUAAUGUAUUGAGUUGUACAUUUACAAUAUCAACCAAUUAUUCACCAACAGUUCUUCAGAGCCCCCCAGGAGGAAUCAAAAAACUAAAAAUUAUAUUUCCCCAUAUGUGAAUCUUUUCUGUUAACAGUACUAUCAUAAUGAGGUCAUGAUUUCACCUUUGAAACAGGUGGAGAGCUUUUGGGCUGAGGGGGUUGUGGACUGUUGGGUUUUAGCUUGUAUUUUCCAAUUCAGUUGUAUUCUCCUGACCAUUGGGGGCUCUAUAUACUGUAGUUCUGAUAAUAUUUGUAGUAUUUGUGGCCAAGCAUGACAUUCUUGAUUUAGAACCCUGAAUAAACAGUGUACGUUUAAGUAAAAUCAAAACAUACCACAGAAGUUCAAUGAAUCUGUACCAGAAGUGACAAUGCAACAGAUGCAGCAGACAAGGAAGAAUCCUCCUCCAAAUUGCCAAUGAUCAGCUGGAACUGGGGUGCAUCUGGGAGUGGGGGAAGGGAAAAAGGACAAAGUAAGUACCACUGAAAAGUCCUUAUUAUAAAAAGUAGGAUUUCUUUCUUUCUUUUUUUAACCAUUUAUUUAAACAACCAUGAGGAGUUUGCUGUUUGCUAUUUAUAGGGUGUGGCUCAAUUCAAACAGGCUCAAGAAAUAAUUUGUCUCUCACCAUUGACUGCCAUACACAGCUUUUCUGAAAUAAGGUCCCAUGGUGCACACCGGAAGGAGCGUGACUUCGGCUUUCUAUUAUUGUAGUAAAACUAAUCACAAAUGUGUGCGGAGAGUUGUGUCUGUAUCUCAAUCUGUGUGUGUAUAAUCAGAUUGUAAAUGUGAAAUAGAAUCACACAAAUCACCACACACAUUUGCAAAUCUACUGCGGCAGAUGUGUGGCAAAAGUCACGUGUGAAGAGACAGCCAAUUGAGAGGCCCAUGUGAGUUGUAACUGAUGACUUGUCUGUAUUUCCAGCUCUUGGAGCAAAAUACUUAGACUUUUCUGCCAACACUUUCAAAGAUUUAUCUACACUUACAGUUCUCCAUAAUAAUGUAAUGGAUAGUGGAUAACAUUGACCAAUAUCUUGCCUUAUAUAUUGCAGUUGAUACUUACUAAUGGUAGACUUGUCUCACCGUUGGGUGCCUGUUCUCUGCCUUAAACCUUGUUCCAAUGCUUGGUCUGCAAAAAAUAUAAGCAGAUUUCUCAUCAUUAGCAGUUAUCAGUGUAAAAAAUAUUCAGAAAUAAACAGGCAGAUACACAUACAUAAGGCCAAAUAUAACAUCUCUGUAACAUGUCUCCAAGACAAGCAUAAGCCUUAUCAUAUACUGUAUUUCUGUGUAAUUUAGGGGGAGCUGAUGCAAAAAUCUUUAAAAAGUUUGAUAUCAAAGUCCAGUGUGUCAUAUUUAGUGGUAUUUAGUCCAUAUAGGGGACCUGACAGAAAUGGAAUAUAAUAUUCAUAUGCUGUUUUUCUUAGCAUAUAACUGCAUGAAAAUAAGAAUCGGGGCAACUGUGGCUCAGGGGGUUGAGUGGUCGUCCAAUCAGAUGGUUCAAUCCCUGACUCCUCCUGUCCUCCUAUUGAAGUGUCCUUUGCUCCUGAUGGUUGUGAACUGCCUGGUCACCUGUCAAUAUCAGUGAGUGUGUGUGUGUGGUAAUAAAUUGCACAUGGCCUAUCACAAUACAAAACAAUAACUAGAAAUACCUCAAGGUUGUAUGCCUCUGCACAGAUGUUAUUUUUAAGUUGACAUUCAUGUGUGUUCAGGUGCAUAUAACAUAUGUAGUGAAGAUUUGAUUUUUUAAAAAUAAUGUAGUGUAUAUUUUCUUCAAAGUUGAAAAUAUUACUUCAUAUAUUUUAGUUUGUUAUAUACAUCCAGAUUAUGUGCUCAUUGACUCUGCGCUAUCGCCAGCGCGGAGGCACAAGACUUAUUUCUGUAUAUUACAGGCACUUAAUUAAGAAUUUCAUAUAAAAUCACAUGUUGUUAUCUGCCAUCUACCCAACACACACCAAACUUCAAAUCAAAUCGAAAAUAUUAUCUGCAGGUUGAAGGCCUGGAGUGAAGUUGUUGAAACUAACAACCACAUCACAGCAACUCUCCGGGCACUUCUGGAGCUCAUGCUGCAUUUAUAUUUAUAUAGUACUAGUGCAUUGGCCGUAGGAAAUAUGUGUUCCUAUAGAAAAGUGGGAGGUUAAGAAGCUUUUUCAUGGAUGGCCAAAUGAGGCUGUGUUUGAAGUUGGGACGUCAGGGAUAUUUAGGUUUGUUGUGAAAUCCGAUAUUCCAGGCUAUAAUUGGCCGUUUUUGACUAUUUUUUGAUUUUGCCAUUAUAUUUCACCCUAAAAACUAUUUACUUGGUGUCAUUAUUUUCAGCACAACCUCACAUGUGUGACUGUUCAGUUAUUUUUUUCAUUUUGACACACUGUAUUACCACAAUGGACCUAAAAUCACAAAAAAAACAUAAAAUCCGAGUAGGAAAAAGUUUUUACUGUGAAAACCACAAAUAUGUUUAAAAAAUUUUUUUAUAUUACUUAUAAUGCAAAUAUAAAUUGUUGUUGGCUAAAUAUGUGCAUAUAUUUAAAAAAUUUACAAAGUUAUAAGUAACUAUUUACAUUUAAUUGCAGGCAAUGCUCAGGUCUGCCUGAGCUCCUUCCAGCUGAAUGAAGAGCUGCACUGCCUGCUCCACAUUCAGCAGUUUCCUCAUUGUUCUGACUUAUUAAACAAAAACCGACUCCACUACACACUAAACACACUACACCAAACACUACAUAACAGAGGCGGGGCUUCCAUGGUGGCACGGGGGGCACCAACCCCCCCCCCCCCCCCUCCCCCCCCCCCCCCGUAAUCUGAUUGGCCACCCUGUGUGCCCCUCCAUUGGUCAUUGACUCGGGGUAAUGUCAACCAUUGCACUAAAGCUCUUUACCGACACUGCAUGUUAAAACGGAAGCAAAGCUGAAACCUUGUGUGAGUAGACUGUGUUAAGAACUUAUGAAGGCUUUUAUUUGGGAAAAAAGACAAAGGAAGUGGCUCCGCGGCUGCUAAUGAACUUUUGUAACUUCACCAGUGAUGGACUUUUUCUCAAAGUGAUACUGCAGGUGCACCGAGUGAAGGUAAGAACAGAACUCUACAUGUUCUUUAACAUGUUCACAACAAUGUUUUGCUAACUUUUGUUCCAUUUGGGUCUAAUUUGGUAAUAUGGUUCAAUUAGCAUGGGAAACAGUUCUUGUGUGUUUUCUUUAGUUAGCUCUCCAUCUGGAUAAACGUAAACAUCUCUCCACUGUUUCAAUAACGUUAGCAAUUAGCAUCCGUUGUAUGUCUGGUGUUUUGUGACAUGAAUUAACAGCCAACAACGGAGUAUCUUAUCAAUGUUGCCACUGUGAUGUUGGUACAGUACAAAUAACAUUUUGCAAUUCAUUGUGUUUGUGGACACGUUUUGAAUGUAGACUACACAGUAUGAAACGGAGGCAGGGAGAUAUCUCCAGUUACUUCACAAAGAGGAAAAUUAGCAGGCAGAGUGCAGAUGACCAACAGGAGUGUGAGAGUAGUCAAGCUGAAUGCAGCCAGGCAGCUAACACAGGCCAACAUCUCCAGGGCCAGACCAGACCUCAUGGACCUCCAGGUGAAAAUGCAGGUAUUAGGGAAAUGCUUUAAAACGUGUAAUGUGGUGUUCUGCACGA